rnacentral:lncRNA from 1 species
GUGUAAUAAUGAAAUUGAAGCCUGUUGGGUUGCAUCACCUCUUCCGAAUUCCACUUCUGCAACCACUCAUAAGUCACCGUUCAUCCUUUCACUAACCCUAGAUCCUUUUCGUUUCAAAUCAAAUCCACUUUUUCUCUACUUAGGUCUCUCUCUCUCUCAAAGUUCUGGAGCACUCCUCUCCAUCGAUUUCUCAAUUCUUGUGUGUCCCUCUCAUUCGAUCUCUCAAAUCCAUGACCCCAUCUAGUGACGAUAUGGUGUGUAGUGGUAAAAUUUGCUCCCUAGGGUUUCAGUGGUAGGAUUCUCGAGCAGAUCCGUGGCAACUGAGACGAGAUCCCGGUGGUAGAUGGCUGUUGAGGUAGGUUUCGACAACCCGGUUCCAAUUUAUCAGCUGCAUGUACGUUUUCUGACAACCGAGCGACUAUAAUGAUGAUUCCGACAACUUGGGUAGUGGUUUGCGACGACAACAAUGACUACCUGCGGUGGAGGUGAACUUCAGCCGCUAAACAACGGUGGUCUAUGGUGGUGGUUGUAUACUUCGGCCGCCAAAAUCGUCUUGUGUUGAAGUGGAGCAAAAAAUCUCUGAUCUCUAAGAUUACAGGGCCCUAAACUGCCAAACAAAUUUCAAAGCUCAUGAUUAGAUAGAUAGGUCUCAAAACGAAAGGGGGGGAAACCGAUAGAAAUCAAAGUAUGAGCAUAUAUUGAUUGUUCAAUCGAAAUGCAAACAAUUUUACAAUGUCUUAGUGUUGUUGAUUGCGAAAGUGAAACCAUAGCUGAGGUAAGAUAUAUUUGUUUAUCGUUCUUUGGAACCCUAACUGUCAGCACAUGUUUGUUUUGUUUCGGAUGGUGUGGUGUCUGAUGCGAGCAAAAUGAAGGCAGCCGCCUCUGCCAAGAGAGGAAGUAAAGCCUCCACCGCCGCUACUUCAGCUAAGGUGGUCCAGAUGCUAUGUCAACUAACUAUUUCGAAGGUUGUUGUUGUCUAAUAGAGAGGUUGCAAGGAUAACGAUACAUACGAUGAGCUACUUUUGGACAUUUCUGAUCCAGACAAGGGUGAUCCACUUGCUGUGGCCUGUGGUGGAGCCGACUCAGUUACACGGGACAACAUGGUCAGAUUAUCAACCCGAAUGCUCGAUAACUAUGAAAAUUUAUCCACACAUGUUGUCGUGCAUUAGAAACUUACAUAAGAAAUCUUGUAUGUGAUAGAUAGUUGAGUUUGAAUAGUUAGCAAUCUAAUGUAAGGUUAAGAGUACAUUAUUAGGUUAACAUUAUGUCUUCUUUAUGUAAUGUGCACGGUGUCUUAUGAUGAUACAUUCUUAAUAAAUACUUA